CCAAAUCAAAGCACGCGCCCAGCAGGGAAGGGGAGAAGAUUUAGUGCCUCUGAAAAUACACUUUGCCUUUAGGCUUUAUUUCCUAAGACAGAGAUGUGUCACUAACGCAAGGAGAUGAUAGUGGGUUUUAACUUGCUUUUGUUUUUCACUAUUUUGCUUCCCAGGCAGGAGGCCCAAGCCCUGACAACAGAGGUGAGAGAGGCUGUGCCAGCCCUUCUCUGGGCGUGUCUGGGCUCAAGGGCCAGGCUCUGCCUCCAGUCUAGGGCCAAGCUGGGGCCUGUGGCAGGAUCAGAUAGAGGCAAAACAUUGAUGAGGCAGGGGGACGGACAAAAUGGGCCUUCCAGAGGUGCUCUCGGACCCUCCCAGCCACACUACAGCCGCAGAGCCCUCCGCUCACAAACCAUCCUGGCCUCGUCAGAACCUGGGGAGGGUUCCUAGUUGUGCAGGAUGCAGAAACUGAGGCUCAGAAGCGUUCGGCCACGUGCAUGCAUUGCCUUUCCCAUUGGUGCUCCAUCGCCAGUAAUGGAUAAGUAAUAAGUAAUAAG
rnacentral:lncRNA from 1 species